rnacentral:rRNA from 1 species
AUGGCAGCCGUUCUAGCAUCUCUGCUUGGAUCAUGUGCCAAUAAGUUGAAAGAUAUCAUUAUUGAUGAGGCCAUACUAAUCUUAGGGGUGGAAAAGGAGCUCGCAGAAGUGCUGCGACGAGUAGAACUAAUACAGUGUUGCAUAUAUGAUGCUGAGAAAAGGAGGACAAAAGAGCAAGCAGUAAACAAUUGGCUUGGUCAACUGAGAGAUGUUAUAUAUGAUGUUGAUGAAAUCUUGGAUGUGGCUAGAUGUAAAGGAAGCAAGCUACUUGCUGACCACCCUUCACCAUCAUCAGGCAAAUCAGUUGCAUGUAAAGGCCUUUCAAUUUCCUCUUGUUUUUGCAACAUUGGGGCACGCCGUGAUGUUGCUGUUCGGAUUAGAAACCUCAACAAAAAGAUUGAGAACAUUGCAAAUGACAAGAUAUUUUCAACUUUCAAUAGUAGUACACAACCUACUCGAAAUGGCCCAACAUCCAAACUGAUAAGAAGUUCCAACCUUGUUGAGCCCAAACUUGUGGGGAAGGAGAUUAUGCAUUCUAACAGGAAGUUGGUGGACUUAGUGCUUGCACACAAGGAAUACAAGUCUUACAAGCUCGGUAUCGUUGGAACUGGAGGAGUUGGUAAGACAACACUAGCUCAAAAAAUAUACAAUGAUCUGGAAAAAAAGGGAAGCUUCAAGAUGCACGCAUGGAUUUCUGUUUCGCAAGACUACAGUGAAGUAACUCUUUUGAAAGAGGUCCUCCGGAAUAUUGGUGUGCAUAGUGAGCAAGGCGAAAGCAUAACAGAGCUGCAGAGAAAGCUUGCACAGACAAUUAAAGGCAAGAGUUUCUUUCUUGUUCUUGAUGAUGUGUGGCAUUCCAAUGUAUGGACAGAUUUAUUGAGACCUGCAUUUCACGAAACAAGUGUCGGAAUAAUAUUGGUAACCACACGAGAUUAUCAAAUUACAAAAAGAAUAGGUGUAGACCAUACCCAUCAAGUUGAUCUCAUGGCAGUAGAAGUGGGAUGGGAGCUACUUUGGAAGAGCAUGAACAUUGAGGAGGAAAAGGAAGUGCAGAAUUUAAGAAAAAUAGGGAUUGAGAUUGUUCAUAAAUGUGGUCGCCUCCCUCUUGCAAUCAAGGUUACCGCUAGUGUUUUGUCAAGCAGAGAACUAACAGAGAAUGAGUGGAAAAGGUAUUUGGGCAGAUUUAUUGGCUCUCAGAGCAUCCUCUUGGAUGAAAUAGAAGAAGCUUUGUAUCUAAGCUAUGAUGAGUUACCACAUCGUUUGAAGCAGUGUUUCCUUUAUUGUGCUUUGUAUGUUGAAGAUUCUGUCAUUAGACGUGAUGAAGUUACCUGGUUAUGGAUUGCCGAAGGCUUCAUCGAGGAGCAGCAAGGCCAACUACUAGAAGACAUAGCAGAAGAGUACUACUACGAGCUAAUACAUCGGAAUCUCCUCCAGCCAAAAAUGAUAAGUUUUGACCAGGCUGAAUGCAGAAUGCAUGAUCUCUUAAGACAACUUGCUUGUAAUAUAUCAAGAGAAGAAUGUUUUAUUGGAGAUGUUGAAACAUUAAGGGGUGGAAAUAUGUCAAAAUUGCGACGUAUUACUGCUGUUAUUAGGAAGGAUAUGUUGGUGUUACCUACAGUGGAUAAGGUGGAAGUUAAGAUUAUCCUAUUGGUGAUGGAAGAGAGGAUACUGUUGUACAAGAUGGAUGGAAGUUGGAAGAGUUGUCUUCUUUGUCGCAGAUGA